AACGAACGCUGGCGGCAUGCCUAACACAUGCAAGUCGAACGAGACCUUCGGGUCUAGUGGCGCACGGGUGCGUAACGCGUGGGAACCUGCCCUUAGGUUCGGAAUAACUCCCCGAAAGGGGUGCUAAUACCGGAUAAUGUCUUCGGACCAAAGAUUUAUCGCCUUUGGUUGGGCCCGCGUUGGAUUAGCUAGUUGGUAGGGUAAAAGCCUACCAAGGCGACGAUCCAUAGCUGGUCUGAGAGGAUGAUCAGCCACACUGGGACUGAGACACGGCCCAGACUCCUACGGGAGGCAGCAGUGGGGAAUAGUGGACAAUGGGCGAAAGCCUGAUCCAGCAAUGCCGCGUGAGUGAUGAAGGCAUUAGGGUUGUAAAGCUCUUUUACCCGGGAUGAUAAUGACAGUACCGGGAGAAUAAGCUCCGGCUAACUCCGUG
rnacentral:rRNA from 1 species